UUGAACGGCCAAGAAGAAAUUUUAUUAAGGAGAAAGGAGAAGGACAAGAUACAACAAAAAAGGGGAAUGGCAUCACUACACCAAGGAUACGUCCCAACGAGGUUGGCACUUAUCCCUGCAACGAUCAUAUGCCAAGAGAAAGCAAAAAGCAAGUUGAUAAGAAAUCAACCAAAGAGCGAAACAAAAUAAAACCCAACCACCAUGGAAUCAAUAACAUUUUCAUGUCACAUAUCAAUAUUGGGUGAACAUCCAAAAAUAGGAAACUUGUUCCGAAAAUCAGCCACAACACAGUAAGUAGAAUCCAAUGAAAUCCAGAAUAAGCAUGGAGAGGUAUGGCAGCUUCCAAGAUCACCACAUCAAUUUAGUAAGCCACUGAUAUCUUCAUUCCUCUGCUGAUAUUGAUGGGGAUUGGGAAUAGAUGAGACAAUGUACGGAACACAAGCAACAGCCUUUACUAAGUGCAGUUUCAAAGCAGGAUGAAUCACCUAUGAGUAUCCCCACCAAUAAUGACUUCAGCGUAUGGAUCUCCACUUCCUUCCAUUGGGUAAGCUCUUCAGACCACUGCUAAUUUUGCUCCCUUAGCCCUCCAAAAGUUUAAUUUGAUAGGACCCUCCAAAAGAUUUUGAUUGGAGUUGGUAAGCGAUGAGACAAGGAGACAAACUUUUAGAUGCAAGGAAUUGCCAACCUUCAGCCUUCACUAAGUGCAGCUUCAAGCAUUAUCCAUAAAUUAGCUCCAUCAAUAACAGCUUCAAUAGAGAGGCGCCCAACAUCAUAGCCCCCCAAAAAGAUUUGGAGUAGAGUUAUGAUCACUUGCUAAACCACCAACUCUCUUAGCCCUCCGGACUUAGGAGUUGAAAAGAGAAACAGAGCCACAAACCAACAUCACAACCAACCAAUCCCAGAUAUGAAUCAACAGCAACCACACAACCCAUCC